GUCUUCCUGUAGAACGGGCUCGGGAACAACAUCUUCCUGAUUUGAAAUGGUUAAAUAAGGAAUGAACUACAGCAGCCCAGUAAAGACAUCACACUAUCUCACCGCCACGGAAGUAAAGGUGGGUAGAAAACAAAAAUGACCAAUGGAGCAUAAUUUAUAACGAACUCGUUUAUUAAUAUAAAAACCUUUACUGUCCACUUACCUCGGUGAGAUCCAUGAAAACAACAUAUGAAAACAAUAACCUUAUAAUAUCAUGAAAUCAUACAUACUUUAUAACAUAACACAUAUCAUACCUUUACAUUUCAAUCAUCAGAAAUAGAUUUCCUCUUUUACCAGCCUACUAGUAUCCCUGGGGAUCCAUAGGGGGUCCCUGCUACACGUGAAUCAUUAACAUUUACAACCUGAUCCCAGGGCCGUCCCCAUACCCCGUCCGGUAUGGGCGCUAAAAACCAUGAAUCUCAAUACCCCGUCUGGUAUGAGGAUGAAACAGGCCGUCCCCAUACCCCAUCCGGUAUGGGCGCCAAAACACAUAAGGUCUCCAUACCCCGUCCGGUAUGAGAGAGCACGUUCCCAGUAGGGUUCCCUACGGACCUGGUCCGUCCACCAUCUCCCAGGAUAUCUAGUUAGGCUGUCCACAUUAUCCACUCANN
rnacentral:lncRNA from 1 species